GACGAACGCUGGCGGCGUGCCUAAUACAUGCAAGUCGAGCGAGCGGAACUAACAGAUUUACUUUCGGUAAUGACGUUAGGAAAGCGACCGGCGGAUGGGUGAGUAACACGUGGGGAACCUGCCCCAUAGUCUGGGAUACCACUUGGAAAUCAGGUGCUAAUACCGGAUAAGAAAGCAGAUCGCAUGAUCAGCUUUUAAAAGGCGGCGUAAGCUGUCGCUAUGGGAUGGCCCCGCGGUGCAUUAGCUAGUUGGUAAGGUAAAGGCUUACCAAGGCGAUGAUGCAUAGCCGAGUUGAGAGACUGAUCGGCCACAUUGGGACUGAGACACGGCCCAAACUCCUACGGGAGGCAGCAGUAGGGAAUCUUCCACAAUGGACGCAAGUCUGAUGGAGCAACGCCGCGUGAGUGAAGAAGGUUUUCGGAUCGUAAAGCUCUGUUGUUGGUGAAGAAGGAUAGAGGUAGUAACUGGCCUUUAUUUGACGGUAAUCAACCAGAAAGUCACGGCUAACUACGUGCCAGCAGCCGCGGUAAUACGUAGGUGGCAAGCGUUGUCCGGAUUUAUUGGGCGUAAAGCGAGCGCAGGCGGAAGAAUAAGUCUGAUGUGAAAGCCCUCGGCUUAACCGAGGAACUGCAUCGGAAACUGUUUUUCUUGAGUGCAGAAGAGGAGAGUGGAACUCCAUGUGUAACGGUGGAAUGCGUAGAUAUAUGGAAGAACACCAGUGGCGAAGGCGGCUCUCUGGUCUGCAACUGACGCUGAGGCUCGAAAGCAUGGGUAGCGAACAGGAUUAGAUACCCUGGUAGUCCAUGCCGUAAACGAUGAGUGCUAAGUGUUGGGAGGUUUCCGCCUCUCAGUGCUGCAGCUAACGCAUUAAGCACUCCGCCUGGGGAGUACGACCGCAAGGUUGAAACUCAAAGGAAUUGACGGGGGCCCGCACAAGCGGUGGAGCAUGUGGUUUAAUUCGAAGCAACGCGAAGAACCUUACCAGGUCUUGACAUCUAGUGCCAUUUGUAGAGAUACAAAGUUCCCCUCGGGGACGCUAAGACAGGUGGUGCAUGGCUGUCGUCAGCUCGUGUCGUGAGAUGUUGGGUUAAGUCCCGCAACGAGCGCAACCCUUGUUAUUAGUUGCCAGCAUUAAGUUGGGCACUCUAAUGAGACUGCCGGUGACAAACCGGAGGAAGGUGGGGAUGACGUCAAGUCAUCAUGCCCCUUAUGACCUGGGCUACACACGUGCUACAAUGGGCAGUACAACGAGAAGCGAGCCUGCGAAGGCAAGCGAAUCUCUGAAAGCUGUUCUCAGUUCGGACUGCAGUCUGCAACUCGACUGCACGAAGCUGGAAUCGCUAGUAAUCGCGGAUCAGCACGCCGCGGUGAAUACGUUCCCGGGCCUUGUACACACCGCCCGUUACACCAUGGGAGUCUGCAAUGCCCAAAGCCGGUGGCCUAACCUUCGGGAAGGAGCCGUCUAAGGCAGGGCAGAUGACUGGGGUG
rnacentral:rRNA from 1 species